GCCCGCCUGGCGGAAUGGUAGACGCAGCGGACUUAAAAUCCGUAGCUCGCAAGGGUGUGGGGGUUCAAGUCCCCCGGUGGGCA
rnacentral:tRNA from 1 species